rnacentral:ncRNA from 1 species
GUUUAUUUACCGCCGGGUAAUCGAAGCGCCAUGUUCUGUAUCGUAGGCCAUUGAAGAUACAGCUCUGACGCUUUUUCUUA